rnacentral:lncRNA from 1 species
UGCAUGCAGACUACAUCUGCCAGGUGCGGUGCUAGGAGAGGCAGGUAAGAGAAGGUUCCGCCUCCCAGCACGUUUCCUUCUAAGGGGAGGCAGAGGCUAAACAAAUAUAUAUGACCACCCUGAACAGUUCCUGAAGGCAAAUAAGUGACAGUAUGUGGAGCGGGAUGUGACCUUGACCAGGGUCUGAGGUUUCCUGAAAGAAGCCGUGUUUGAGGCCUGAUCUAAAAGCUGAGCAGGAACAACUACCCAGGGAGCUCCCGUUGUGGCUCCUUGGGUUUUUUAGGGCCGUGGAUGUGGCCCUAAAAAAGACCCCCCCCCAAGAAAAAUCAUGAAGUUGAAUUUCAGAGAGGGAUAAAUGCUCCAAGGAGUGAUGCGAUGGAACCAAGGGGGAGGGUGGGCUGGGGGCUGCAGGGGGCGGGGGUCAGGGUCAUGCAACCUCUGAGGAUGCAAAGAGGUAGUGGAAAAGCAUUGCAGCUGGGGGGAACAGUCAAGGCAAAGUCUUGAGGUUGGACGAGAGACCAGGGGGCUGGAAGGGGAAGUCGUGGUGGGAGAGGGGCCCUGGGGGUGGAACAGGCCUGGACGGCCCUGGGGAGCUUAACCCUGGGGAGGCCUGGGGGGUUUCAGGCAGGAGUGAUGGGCUCCAUUCCCCCUGACCUGCCAGAAUCUCCCUUCUCGCUCAUUCUGGAAACCCCCUCAGCCCCAGUUCCCUAUUUCAGCCCUUUCCAGCCCAGCUGCCUCCCUUACCCCCGUUACAGGUACUCCCUGGGCUGGAAUUUCCCAAGAUCUGCCGUCUGGGAGGGGAACGAACACUGGUGACCAUCAUUGUCAAGGCCACGAUGGUUACGUUUUCACCAGAGCCACCUGCCCACAGAGACCUGGGAUAAUAGAGGCCAAAGGUGGCCCAUCAGCUCAGAAACCUGUAAUUCCGCACAUGCCCAACCAUCCACAGGGACCGGAAGGAGCCGAGCAGACGCCAGCGGAAACCCACAGAUGUUUGCAAUUGACAACAGACCCAUCAGCAGAUGUCCUUAAAGAAUUUGCCGGCACCUGCUGCCUGUUUACCAAUGCUCCCUCCGUGAAGUUCACCUUCAGCUCACGGUGACCACCGCCACCGCCGCCGCCACUGGGGCCCCAAGUCGGGGAUGCCUAGCUCGGGUGGCCCCUUGCUCUAGCCCCCAAGGACAGUCACUUGACCUCUCUGAGCCAGAGAUGCUGCAUGUGUGAAGGAGAAGUGGUAACGCUCACCUCCUAGGAUGGCGGUGACGAUUCGAAAUGAAAACGUCUAGGGCCCUUGGCGUGGGGUCAGCUCCAGGUAGGUGCCCGGUCAGUGGCAGCUGUCGUGAUUCCUCACCUCUUAGCCUCCGUUUCCCCAGCUGGGUUUGGACAGGGCUUAUCUAGAUCAGUGGUUCUCAGUUGGGGGUGAUUUUACCCCCCAGCUGUGGGGCAAGGGAAGCUGCUGGCAUCAGGUGGCGUCGGAGAUGCUGCCAACGUCCGACAGGGUGCAGGACAGCCACGCACAGCGGGGGAUUGUCCAGCCCCAAAUGUCCACAUGAUCUGUAUUAAGAAACCCUGGACUAAGUUCAUCUCUGCGUUUCCCUCGCAGUAGAGGAAGUUUGGGUUGGGUCUGUGUUGCCUUGUGCUGGGAGGGGUCUGGAGCAUCCAGGCUUUCAACCCGGACGUGGCCCCGUAGACUGGACCUCGGGCCUGGGACACUUCCUCCCAGGAGGCAAAGAGGCCCCUCAGCCUCAAAGCCUCAUGUGGGGACCUUGUUCCUGUUUCAGGCCCAACGUGUGCAUGUUUGUCUGGCUUAAGUGUGUGCAUGUGUCACGGGGCGCUUGGCCAGCCUCACUGCUGUAUUGUCCCCUGUGGGGAGGGGACAGGGUCCUGUGUUCAGUGACACAGGAGGGGUGCAUGGAUCAACUGCUGGGAGAGACCCGCUGGCCGUGGGGGACCGGAUAGAGCUAUUAGUAUGUGGUGUAUUGUCUGUUUCCCGCCCCCGCCUCAUACGUCAGUCAACUACCAAUGACUGUAUGAUGGUUGCACAGCUCUGAAUGUACUAAAAAUCAUUGAAAUUUACACUUUAAAUGAGUUGAUUGUAGGGU